GGGGGAAUAGCUCAGUUGGGAGAGCGUAGGUUGGAGAACGGCCUCAAUAUGGCUAGUCCGCGCGGAAGCCGAGUAGUGCCAACCGCUCCGGCCUAAGGUCAGGGGUUCGAAUCCCUUUUCCUCCA
rnacentral:tRNA from 1 species